rnacentral:rRNA from 1 species
UACGUAGGGUGCAAGCGUUAAUCGGAAUUACUGGGCGUAAAGCGUGCGCAGGCGGUUUUGUAAGUCUGUCGUGAAAGCCCCGGGCUCAACCUGGGAAUUGCGAUGGAGACUGCAAGGCUUGAAUCUGGCAGAGGGGGUAGAAUUCCACGUGUAGCAGUGAAAUGCGUAGAGAUGUGGAGGAAUACCGAUGGCGAAGGCAGCCCCCUGGGAUAACACUGACGCUCAUGCACGAAAGCGUGGGGAGCAAACAGG